rnacentral:rRNA from 1 species
UACGGGGGGAGCAAGCGUUGUUCGGAUUUACUGGGCGUAAAGGGCGCGUAGGCGGCGUGACAAGUCACUUGUGAAACCCCCAGGCUCAACCUGGGGACGCCACCCGAUACUGCUGUGGCUAGAGUCCAGUAGAGGAGUGUGGAAUUCCCGGUGUAGCGGUGAAAUGCGCAGAUAUCGGGAGGAACACCAACGGCGAAGGCAGCACUCUGGGCUGGAACUGACGCUGAGGAGCGAAAGCGUGGGUAGCAAACAGG